AUUGAACGCUGGCGGCAGGCCUAACACAUGCAAGUCGAACGAGUGGCGGACGGGUGAGUAAUGUCUGGGAAACUGCCUGAUGGAGGGGGAUAACUACUGGAAACGGUAGCUAAUACCGCAUACCAUCAGAUGUUCCCAGAUGGGAUUAGCUUGUUGGUGGGGUAACGGCUCACCAAGGCGACGAUCCCUAGCUGGUCUGAGAGGGUGACCAGGCACACUGGAACGGGGACACGGUCCCGACUCCUACGGGAGGGAGCCGUGGGGGAUGUUGCACAAUGGGCGCAAGGCUGGUGCGGCCAUGCCGCGUGUAUGAAGAAGGCCUUCGGGUUGUAAAGUACUUUCAGCGGGGAAGCGUUACCCGCAGAAGAAGCACCGGCUAACUCCGGGCCAGCAGCCGCGGUAAUAC
rnacentral:rRNA from 1 species